rnacentral:rRNA from 1 species
UACGAAGGGAGCUAGCGUUGUUCGGAAUCACUGGGCGUAAAGCGCACGUAGGCGGACGUGUCAGUCAGGGGUGAAAUCCCGGGGCUCAACCUCGGAACUGCCUUUGAUACUGACAAUCUCGAGUCCGGAAGAGGUGGGUGGAAUUCCUAGUGUAGAGGUGAAAUUCGUAGAUAUUAGGAAGAACACCAGUGGCGAAGGCGGCCCACUGGUCCGGUACUGACGCUGAGGUGCGAAAGCGUGGGGAGCAAACAGG